UCUGAUGGGAUUUUCUAUGAAGGCAAUGAGGAAAUGGUUCAUCUUGCUUCCAAGGAAAUAGGAUGCCAGGUCUAUUCUAACACUCUCCCAUGAUAAUACUGCAGAGAUAGGAAAUAGAUUGAAAUUUUUUUCUGGUUUGACUGUGUGCAUGUGUGUUAUGUAUUGAUUUUUUAAAAAUCAUUUGUUUAGUAAAUAAAAAAACUGGUAG
rnacentral:lncRNA from 1 species